GACACAAUGACGUAUUUUCCGGUGAUAGCCAACACGGGGCAGACGGUUCUACUCUGAUCGUGCCAGCAGGGGACCCUCGAAGCACAUAUUUACGGUAAAUAACAGAACCAAAACCAGAACCAAACUCCAGCAAACAGCAUUAGUCCUCAGGGCAGGUUGGCAUUCAGGAAGAUCAGAUGCCUCAGCUUGGAUGGGCUGAUACGAUUUCGCCUCUCCGUAGCAGCAGAAGAUCAGGGUGAGCAUGAGGAUGAAGAGGCCGAUGCCCAGGAUGAUGAUAUAGACGUUGAGCGGCAGGUGGAAGAGCUCUUCAGAAGUCAUCUUGCAGUAGGGGUCGGAGUUCUGCAAUCCAAGGU